ACUAAAUUCCUUUGUUAAUUUUUGGGGCCGUUGACGAGUCAUUAACAACUUUUCUUUCGCUCUUUUCCCUCGUUCAAUUUUCUGUAUUCCUCAAUUGCAUCCUAAUGCAGAACAUGAAAGCCAGGCACUUGAGUUGCUAGUUUCUCUGCAACAAUCUCUACUACUGUUGUUUCUGUAAUUCUCAUAUCCUGUUCUUUAUUAUUUUUUUUGGGGUUUAUUUGGGUUCAAUUCUCAUUUCGUACAUCUUGUUAAACAUGAUGUUUUUCUGUCCGCAUUAGUUCUUGGGUUAGCAAGUUGAUAGUUAUGUAAUGAUCAAGCCUUGUUGAAUUGGUAAUUUAGUCGAGUGAUUAAAUUAUAAUUUUUAAAAGCCCUAAAGUAUUGGUUGCUGCUUAUGAAUUUUUAGAUGAACUAUGAUGUUGAGUAGGGGAAAUGUUUUCGUUUUUUAUUGGUACGUUUUUCUGAGUAUAGCCGGGAGGAAGAAGGGUAAGAUGAUGAAAAUACUUACUGGGAAAGAAUGAAAAGAUGAAUUUGAUUUUUGCCUUUAAUUAGUUUACAGAUGUUGCCACACUUAAGCAGAAUAAUUUCAUUUGGGAUUUUAGCUUGGUGGUCGAAUUCCAAGUUUGGUGGCUUUUCUCGGUUGGGCAUUUCCAUAACAUGUUGAAAGUGCAAAAGAAGCCAAAUGAAAAAGAGAGAUGGAUGCAUGUUAAGGGGUAUUGAAGUAAUAGGAAAGUUAAUGAGGCGCCUUUUUUGACAAUGCCCACUUUCUUAAGUAUAUAUUAACUCGUAUGUGAUAAAGAAAUGAUCUUUUUCUGAAGGCAAAAUAUCUUUGAUCAAUCUGGUGGCGCCAUGUAGUAUGUAACUCUUUGUCGAUCGUUAAUUGACAAUCUGGUGGCAGCAUGAUUAUCCUGAUGGGUUAAUUGGCAAUGAGGUGCUUCAAGCAGAGGAGUCGAACCGUAACGUAUUGCUAGGAGGAAGAAAGGUAGUAUAAUGGAAAUACAUGUUGGAAAAGAAUGAAAAGAGGAAUUGGAUUAUUGCCCUGAAUCAGUGUAGAGAUAUUGUCACACUUCAGCAGAAUAGUCCUUUUCUUUUGGGUUUGUAACUUGGUGGUCAUAUUCGUAGUUUAGCAGCUUUUGUUGAAUGACUAUUUCAAAAGCAUGCUGAAAGUUGCAGAGGAAGCUAACUUAAAAGGCUGGAUGCGUGGUAAGGGUAUUGGAGUAAUAGGAAAGUUAACAACAUGGUGUCUAUCGUAUGCACACUUUCUCAGGCACAUAUUUUUGUGUAUGUGAUAAAGAAACAAUUUUUGCAUAAAGGCAGAAUAGUUUUGAUCAGUAUGGUGAUAUUAUGCAGGAAUAGAAAGAUGUUGCGUCUACAUGUCCACAGAGCAAAGAACCUUAUUUGACUUAGGGCCAUAGCAUGUAUGCUGUGACAUGCUCUCACGUUGAAGUAUUUCACUUCCAUGUCAAAUUGUGGAGCUGCACUAUUGGCUUGCCAAAACACUGGGAAAUUCUGUACAAAAGUCUGCCACUUUUCUAUUGGAGAAAAUUGCUGUGUCUUCUCUACAAUGUUGUAAUUUAGGGUCUGAGACUGAUGAACUAUCUGCUUUGCCUUCAGUGUUGUUGCCACAAGAUGGAGGAAAAUGGUGGCUGUAAUGGCUUACGUUUUGGAGGUUUUUUUGAUACAGUUGAGGGUGUGGGAGCUGAGGGUACUGGUUUCACGUUAAGAUUAUAACACAGAGACAAGAUUCACUUGCUCUAAGUAUUAUUCAAUCUCUGCUAUUGCAAUUUACAUUUUAACGUAAUGAAUGAUUAUAAGGUUGGGUCAGAAGGAACAUGUACAACUUCCCAAAGAGAUGUGAGGAUAUAAAAGAAAUCAAGUUUGGUUAAUGUGACUUCAAGUGGAAGAAAUCAGAAGAAAAACUUGAUUUUUACUCUGAAAUCUGCCUAGGAAAUAUUCAACCUUUGAAUGGUUCAAUUGGUUCAUCCAGGAAUUUUCAGCUGUUCGAUCUGGUCGAAUGCAAACUCAGAGAAGACUAUAAGUCUAUGAAACUUGGUGAAAGCCAGCAAAGAAAUUGACUAGAAACCAGACUAGUUUGGCCGAGCAAGUUGGGGCAUUUCUUGCGUUGGAUAAAGAGCGCGUUCAAAUGAUGCCGGCAACUCCAAUACCUAGGGAAAGUGAAAAAGGUUGAUUCUGUACUUUGGGUCUUCAAAGGGGCAGCUGCAUCUGAUUGAAAUGCAGAUAUAUCUUGGAGAUGAAGAGGGACUACUCAGAAUGAACCUCACAGAUCCUGCCUUGUAAUAUCAACUGCAAUGGGCAUGUGACUGGUGCAACUUUCUCGUACUUCAAAACAUUUUGAUAGGGUAAGGUCUCUUUGUGAACCUGACCAGGGUUUCAUGAUACAAUUCAAGAGGUACAGAUGCCACCCUCAUAUCAUGAUCCUCACAGCUGUUUGAUGCGGGCAAAAGUGAAGCUAUCAGAAGUUUACUUAGUGAAGGAUCUUGCAAUUCAUGUAUUAUGUCAAACCUGACAUUCACCUUUCCUGGUUCCAAAGCUAAGAUUAUACAGGUACAUCUUUACAACUGGGAUGAUCAGCUAGUUUGGGUCAGGAACUUGAGAUGCAAACAGGUACUACCUCAUGAAAAGAGAGACAUGAUUUAGAAGGAAAAUGAUCUGAGCAAGAUGCUCAACAUGAUUUAUGGUUUCGAUCUUACUUUCUGUCAGUAUAUAUUGUAUAUCAGUCAAUAUAUCAGGAAUUGGAAUAGAUUGUUGCAGUAUCUGUGAUUGAACUCAGCUGCAGGAUUUUUUGAAGUUGGAUUUCAGGUAUAGUUUUCCAAAAUAAAACCAAUCAAAGUGAAGAGAUAGAAGUAGCUCUUGGUCCCAACUCCCAAGUUUAGGGAACCAACCUCAGAUUGGCAUACACAACUUCACCCCAUAUUAUGUGUUUUGCAUGGAGUCUUGGAAGUUGCUCCAACUUGAAAUUGAUCAAGGAAUAAGAUCGAAGUACAUAAAAGGCAGCAUCAUUUUCAUUUCCAGUGUCUCUUGACCUAAACCAGAUACCACAUUUUACGAGAUUUCUAUCAUUUUCAAUUGAAAGCCCCUGCAGAAUAAAUCAACUCAAACUGGAAAUGAAAUGCUUCUUGGCAUGGACUUUGUUCAGGCGGAGUUAGAAAAGUAUCACUUACUCCUUCAUUGCCUGCGUAAACUUAUGCACAAAAAUCAGUUUGGCAAAGCCAAAAGACCAUGAAAUUAGUGCCCUCAUUAAAGAUCAUGAAUUGGUUAAACAAAGCCAAAAGAAGAUGAUGUUCCGUUCCAACUCCCAACUUCCGAGCAAGCAAGGAGGCAAGUAGCAGAAAAGAGUCGGUCCGGUCUGACCAGCGUGUCUGUAGAGUUUCAAACAGUUCACAAAAAGGAAAAAUUGAAGAUGGGGAAAAAUCCUUAGGAAUGGUGAUGGCUGGUGAUCAUCAUGCAGGCACAGGUGUAAAUGCAGAAUUUGCAUAUCUUUGGAUGGGAAUUGUUGCAAAUAUUCCUGCUGACAAUAGAAAUGGAUAAGAUGUUGGAAGCUGUGGCUCUGAGGUUAGGAAUGAUCUGACUAUGAAAUAGUUUAAUCCAAUGACUGUGCAACCAUUCUGGAACUGUGCAACAUUAUCAGGGUAUGUAAUACUUGAGUUCAACAAGAACUAGGCAGGAUUGUCUGAGGCAAUGGCUUUUGAAGAGAGUUUUGAAGCAGAGCAUCUUGGUAGGAGGGAUUACUAUGAAGCAUAUAACGGGUGAUAAGCAUGAUUCAAAGUCGCGGUCGCGGCCUGGACCGUUCCACAUCGGUUUCGACAUAUUGAUCACGGUCUUGGAGGGGUCGUUUCGGCGACAACUCGGCCGAAUUAUCUCAGUCUCGGCUGAGACUUUGAACCAUGAAUGUGGGUGAUAAGUGGUAUGGAUGGGUUGCCCUGCUGAUGCUUAUCAUUCAUUAGAAUUAAUUGGAGCAUAUCUUCAACAGAAGGCAGAUUUGAAGACUAUUGCUGAUAUUAAAGCAGAAGUGAAGCAAAUAACUUCACGGCUUAUUGACAAUCUUACCAAGGAAAUUCAAGAUAACAGCAGGUCCCUCAGGGUUUGUGAGCGUAAAUACAAUGAAACUAUUAUACUGUCAUUCGAUUUCAUGACUCGAAAGGAAGAGAUGGAUCGAUUCCAUAAUGAAGAGAUAGAAAGAUGCUGGAUACCAUGCCAAUCAGUUGAAAAGGUAUCUUCAGA